rnacentral:hammerhead_ribozyme from 1 species
AUUCAGCUGAAGAGUCUCAAAUGAGACGAAAUGUAUGUCUUGGAU